rnacentral:rRNA from 1 species
CCUACGGGGUGCAGCAGUGGGGAAUAUUGGGCAAUGGGCGCAAGCCUGACCCAGCAACGCCGCGUGAAGGAAGAAGGCUUUCGGGUUGUAAACUUCUUUUAUCAGGGACGAAGCAAGUGACGGUACCUGAUGAAUAAGCCACGGCUAACUACGUGCCAGCAGCCGCGGUAAUACGUAGGUGGCAAGCGUUAUCCGGAUUUACUGGGUGUAAAGGGCGUGUAGGCGGGAAUGCAAGUCAGAUGUGAAAACCAUGGGCUCAACCUGUGGCCUGCAUUUGAAACUGUUUUUCUUGAGUACUGGAGAGGCAGACGGAAUUCCUAGUGUAGCGGUGAAAUGCGUAGAUAUUAGGAGGAACACCAGUGGCGAAGGCGGUCUGCUGGACAGCAACUGACGCUGAGGCGCGAAAGCGUGGGGAGCAAACAGGAUUAGAUACCCCAGUAGUC